UACAGAGACUGCAAGCGUUAUUCGGAUUCACUGGGCGUAAAGGGUGCGUAGGCGGUCUUAUAAGUCAGUGGUGAAAUACGGCAGCUCAACUGUCGAGGUGCCAUUGAUACUGUAGGACUUGAGUACAGACGAGGUAGGCGGAAUUGACGGUGUAGCGGUGAAAUGCUUAGAUAUCGUCAAGAACACCGAUAGCGAAGGCAGCUUACUAGGCUGUAACUGACGCUGAGGCACGAAAGUGUGGGGAUCAAACAGG
rnacentral:rRNA from 1 species